rnacentral:rRNA from 1 species
UACGUAGGGUGCGAGCGUUGUCCGGAAUUAUUGGGCGUAAAGGGCGCGUAGGCGGCCUGGCAAGUGGAAGGUGAAAUCCCUCGGCUUAACCGAGGAACUGCCCUCCAAACUGCUUGGCUUGAGUCCGGGAGAGGUGAGUGGAAUUCCCAGUGUAGCGGUGAAAUGCGUAGAUAUUGGGAGGAACACCAGUGGCGAAGGCGGCUACCUGGACCGGUUCUGACGCUGAUGCGCGAAAGCGUGGGUAGCAAACAGG